rnacentral:tRNA from 1 species
GGCGCCGUGCCCAAGUGGUUAAGGGAGGGGCCUGCAAAGCCCCCAUUCGUCGGUUCGAAUCCGACCGGCGCCU